GACGAACGCUGGCGGCGUGCUUAACACAUGCAAGUCGAACGGAAAGGCCCCCUUGUGGGGUACUCGAGUGGCGAACGGGUGAGUAACACGUGAGUAACCUACCCUUGACUUUGGGAUAACUUCAGGAAACUGGGGCUAAUACCGGAUAGGAGCUCCUGCUGCAUGGUGGGGGUUGGAAAGUUUCGGCGGUUGGGGAUGGGCUCGCGGCUUAUCAGCUUGUUGAUGGGGUAGUGGCUCACCAAGGCUUUGACGGGUAGCCGGCCUGAGAGGGUGACCGGCCACAGUGGGACUGAGAUACGGCCCAGACUCCUACGGGAGGCAGCAGUGGGGAAUAUUGCACAAUGGGCGGAAGCCUGAUGCAGCAACGCCGCGCGCGGGAUGACGGCCUUCGGGUUGUAAACCGCUUUCGCCUGUGACGAAGCGUGAGUGACGGUAAUGGGUAAAGAAGCACCGGCUAACUACGUG
rnacentral:rRNA from 1 species